CUGCAGCCUCCCUGGGGCUCCGGGGGGUUCUGUCCCCUCAGGGGGGUUGUGUCCCCUCAGGGUGGGUUGUGUCCCCUCAGGGGGGUUUGUGUCCCCUCAGGGGGUUUGUGUCCCCUCAGGGGGGUUGUGUCCCCUCAGGGGGGUUGUGUCCCCUCAGGGGGGUUUGUGUCCCCUCAGGGGGGUUGUGUCCCCUCAGGGGGUUUGUGUCCCCUCAGGAGGGUUGUGUCCCCUCAGGGUGGGUUUUGUGUCCCCUCAGGGGGUUUGUGUCCCCUCAGGGGGUUUUGUGUCCCCUCAGAGGGGUUUUUGUGUCCCCUCAGGGUGGGUUUGUGUCCCCUCAGGGGGGUUGUGUCCCCUCAGGGGGUUUGUGUUCCCUCAGGGUGGGUUUUGUGUCCCCUCAGGGGGGGUUUGUGUCCCCUCAGGGGGGUUCUGUCCCCUCAGGGGGGUUUGUGUCCCCUCAGGGGGUUUGUGCCCCCUCAGGGGGGGGUUGUGUCCCCUCAGGGGGUUUUGUGUCCCCUCAGGGUGGUUUUUGUGUCCCCUCAGGGUGGAUUUUGUGCCCUCUCAGGGGGGGUUUUGUGUCCCCUCAGGGUGGAUUUUAUGCUUUCUCAGGGGGGGUUUUGUGUCCACUGAGAGUAUUUUUUCUGUUCUCUGAGGGUGUUUUGUGCCCUCUCAGGGUGGAUUUUGUGUCCUCUGUGUUUUGUGCCCUCUGAGGCUGUUUUUUGCCCCCUGAGUGGUUUUUGUGCCCUCUGAGGUGUUUUUUUUAUGCCCUCUGAGGCUGUUUUUUGCCCUCUGAGGUGUUUUUAUGCCCUCUGAGGCUGUUUUUUGCCCUCUGAGGUGUUUUUUACCCUCUGAAGGCUCUGUCCUGUUUCAGGCACUCAAAGAACCCAAAUCCCCGCGAGCGCUUUCUCUUCCUCACAACGGAGGUGCCUCAUCUUCAACCUCCUCUUUCUUUCCAAACAUCACUCCCCUGCUAGAGGUUCAACCACCUUCCAGAGACCACCUUGAUGGUGUUAAAUAUUUAUUUCUAAUCCCUGAGGUGGAAGUUUUGUCCCACCCUCAGCAGCGACAAACACCCCGCGGUAUUCCAGCACAGAAAACCAACACCCUUCCCUGCCUCCCCCCACCCCAGGGCAGCACCACGACUCCCCCAAGCUCUGAGCAUUCAUUUUACCCUUUCAA